rnacentral:rRNA from 1 species
CCUGGCUCAGGAUGAACGCUAGCUACAGGCUUAACACAUGCAAGUCGAGGGGCAGCAUGGUCUUAGCUUGCUAAGGCCGAUGGCGACCGGCGCACGGGUGAGUAACACGUAUCCAACCUGCCGUCUACUCUUGGACAGCCUUCUGAAAGGAAGAUUAAUACAAGAUGGCAUCAUGAGUCCGCAUGUUCACAUGAUUAAAGGUAUUCCGGUAGACGAUGGGGAUGCGUUCCAUUAGAUAGUAGGCGGGGUAACGGCCCACCUAGUCUUCGAUGGAUAGGGGUUCUGAGAGGAAGGUCCCCCACAUUGGAACUGAGACACGGUCCAAACUCCUACGGGAGGCAGCAGUGAGGAAUAUUGGUCAAUGGGCGAGAGCCUGAACCAGCCAAGUAGCGUGAAGGAUGACUGCCCUAUGGGUUGUAAACUUCUUUUAUAAAGGAAUAAAGUCGGGUAUGGAUACCCGUUUGCAUGUACUUUAUGAAUAAGGAUCGGCUAACUCCGUGCCAGCAGCCGCGGUAAUACGGAGGAUCCGAGCGUUAUCCGGAUUUAUUGGGUUUAAAGGGAGCGUAGAUGGAUGUUUAAGUCAGUUGUGAAAAGUUUGCGGCUCAACCGUAAAAUUGCAGUUGAUACUGGAUAUCUUGAGUGCAGUUGAGGCAGGCGGAAUUCGUGGUGUAGCGGUGAAAUGCUUAGAUAUCACGAAGAACUCCGAUUGCGAGGGCAGCCUGCUAAGCUGCAACUGACAUUGAGGCUCGAAAGUGUGGGUAUCAAACAGGAUUAGAUACCCUGGUAGUCCACACGGUAAACGAUGAAUACUCGCUGUUUGCGAUAUACUGCAAGCGGCCAAGCGAAAGCGUUAAGUAUUCCACCUGGGGAGUACGCCGGCAACGGUGAAACUCAAAGGAAUUGACGGGGGCCCGCACAAGCGGAGGAACAUGUGGUUUAAUUCGAUGAUACGCGAGGAACCUUACCCGGGCUUAAAUUGCAGAUGAAUUACGGUGAAAGCCGUAAGCCGCAAGGCAUCUGUGAAGGUGCUGCAUGGUUGUCGUCAGCUCGUGCCGUGAGGUGUCGGCUUAAGUGCCAUAACGAGCGCAACCCUUGUUGUCAGUUACUAACAGGCUCCGCUGAGGACUCUGACAAGACUGCCAUCGUAAGAUGUGAGGAAGGUGGGGAUGACGUCAAAUCAGCACGGCCCUUACGUCCGGGGCUACACACGUGUUACAAUGGGGGGUACAGAGGGCCGCUACCACGCGAGUGGAUGCCAAUCCCCAAAACCUCUCUCAGUUCGGACUGGAGUCUGCAACCCGACUCCACGAAGCUGGAUUCGCUAGUAAUCGCGCAUCAGCCACGGCGCGGUGAAUACGUUCCCGGGCCUUGUACACACCGCC